UAGGGAAUCUUCGGCAAUGGGGGGAACCCUGACCGAGCAACGCCGCGUGAGUGAAGAAGGUUUUCGGAUCGUAAAGCUCUGUUGUUAAGGAAGAACGAGUGUGAGAAUGGAAAGUUCAUGCUGUGACGGUACUUAACCAGAAAGGGACGGCUAACUACGUGCCAGCAGCCGCGGUAAUACGUAGGUCCCGAGCGUUGUCCGGAUUUAUUGGGCGUAAAGCGAGCGCAGGCGGUUAGAAAAGUCUGAAGUGAAAGGCAGUGGCUCAACCAUUGUAGGCUUUAGAAACUGUUUAAAUUGAGUGCAGAAGGAGAGAGUGGAAUUCCAUGUGUAGCGGUGAAAUGCGUAGAUAUAUGGAGGAACACCGGUGGCGAAAGCGGCUCUCUGGUCUGUAACUGACGCUGAGGCUCGAAAGCGUGGGGAGCGAACAGG
rnacentral:rRNA from 1 species